AAAAAAAAAAAAAAAAAAGGUGAUUGAAUCCAAAUAAUUUUGGAAGCGUCGCCACAAACACCGGAAUAGCGGAGGUCUCGGACCAGCGCGUCUCUCUUGUUGACCAGAAUGACGAGCUCGUCCAGCAGCAGCUGCUCGCGCCUCUUCUGCGCCUCCGUCUUCUGCCAGUCUGCAAAGACACCAGACGAGCACAGAGCGUCACCACGCAGCCGCUGGACUCAGCGGGUUUGGUUUUAGUGCCACCUUCAGGAUUCACACUUGACGGGAGCAUGGAUCAGGACUAAACGUAGAGAGACACGGUUGGAGUAGAAAUGUUUGGGACGUGAACAAACGUCACAGGAAUGAGCGGAAGGACGCAAUCAGAACAUCCGGACACGGUUCGGAUGGUUUGAGCUUCAACUCGUUAAUGUGCACAAACAUCUGACUAAACGUUCCAUUUGUGCAAAGCGGUUUCUGAAUCCCGCUCAGGAGAAUCAGAUCCUCCAAACGCUACGACAAACCUGUGUUUUUAGUUAAUUAUGAGGUUAUGAUCUGAGACGAUCGACUGAAGAGCGCCGUAUACUCUGCUGUUGGACACCAACAACAAACUGAUUCAAAACACCUGGAAUAUGAUUGAAAAGUUUGUAUUUGUUUAAUAUGAUGCAGUUUCAAACAAGUUUGAACCAAAAGUAAAACAUCAGGUGGAUUCAUUCGGGCUAAAAUCGGUUAAUCUGGUUUUAAAUUAUUUGGGUGUGUCAGACAAGAAUAAACCUGUUCAAAGAUGCUUCAAACAAGUUUCAAAUCAGUUUAAAACAGAAAAUCUGUUUAUGAUCUGAUUUAUAAAAGAUUUAAUCCAGUUGGAAAAUAGAUUAGGCCAAAUCUGAGUGAAACUGGAGGUGUGAUUUUAAAACAAUCUACAGAUUAACUGAUGAAAAAAGUAAAUGAAGUUUUAACGUUAAUGUCGCAGAAGUCGUGCAAAAUACGAACAAAAAUGAACUUCAUUUGAAGCUUCGUAAUGUUGGCGUGUGUGUGUGUUUGUGAUGAUGAUGAUGUUUUGACACCUGAGUCGGUCUCAGACGGUGCAGGAAGCGACGCCACAGGGUCCAAACCCACACAGCCUCCCCUGAGGGAGUCGGGGGGUGGGUUUGAAUAUUUGCACCAUCGGAGCCACACCCACCCUACAUAUCUUCUCCCAAAACAAACCUGAACCAAUCACGCGAUGUGGCUAAGAGCGCUUCUGUAGACGUGAUACAGAAAAACAGUGCCUCGGUUCAGAUCAGAACAACUCAGGGAAGCUCGCUGAAACUCAUGUCGGGUUUGAACGUGUUCCAAAUUUCCUGGCGCUCAGUCAGACUAACAGAUGUCUUGUGUUCGGUGCAGGUUCGCUGCCAUCCGCCGCCCAGUUGUUACGCUGGACUGAGAGAGACUGAGCCCGAGCUGAGGGCCUGACACCAAGCGCUGCCUGGCGGUAACUCGUCUGAGGCCACCAGAGGCAGUGCAGCUGAGCCGUGGCUCCGCCCAUUACAUCUCCAAAUGGUGCAAACUAAGAGUGAGCGUGCCGAUGUGACCAGGAACUGAAUCAUUAUUUCAUGGACUGAUGACCUGUUGGCUCCGCCCCUUCACAAUAGCAGGAAGCACCAAAGAAGUCUGACGCAAAGAGAAAAAGUCGGUGCUUAAGUUUAGCAGUUAGCACGUUGCAAACAGGAUGAAAACAUCAGUUUGAUUGUGACGGCUUUUUACAGAAAUGCCGACACAUUCAUGGAUUUCUGCUGGAGAGACGAUGUGGCACUCGACAUUUUUCAGGAAAAUCAAACCGUUUCUAACAUCACAUGAACGAAUAAACAGCUCUGUGCAAAAGUUUGAAGCAUGAUUUACAUAGAAAAAAAAAAUUCAA